UGCAGGCUGCUGUUUAUCAGUGGCGGCUGCUGCUGCUAUCAGUAACACAGCUCAUCAUUCACUGCCACAUUGUUCCAACAAACAAUGGGCCCGUGUUCGCAGUGUGCACUACAGAAAUCUGAUUUACUGAUCAAUGGCCUUGAUGGUUUUGUCUUCCACACAAUGAGCCGUGAUGAGACUGUGACAAGCUGAAGGUGGAACAAUGGCAGCCAGGAGUUUUCUACUUCACCUGCAUUCUUUCUUGUUUUCAUUUGGCCUCAUAUGCAAAAAUAAGUUUGUCUCCAACUGUCGCUGUGAACACAGUUUUCUGAGCAAACUUGGCUUGAACUUCGAUCCAGUGAAGCGCUCUCCGUUGGUUGAGUGGCAGCAGUUGGAUCCUCACAUGGCUGUUUGUCAUUCUCUGCAGGUUAAACCCCCGCUGGGCACAGAACACGGCUUCUGGGCCACGCGUCCACGCGAAGGAUUUGUUGUCUGUGCUGCACAGACACCACAGAAGAAGAGUUUUCCGUCCGUCUUUCCGUCCGUCCGUUCGUCCGUCUGUCCGUCGUUCCGUCCGUCCGUCCGUCCGUCUUUUCGUCCGUCGUUCUGUCCGUCCGUCCAUCCGUCCGUCUGUCCGUCGUUCUGUCCGUCUGUCCAUCGUUCUGUCCGUCUUUCCGUCCGUCUCUUCGUCCGUCUGUCCGUCGUUCUGUCCAUCUGUCCGUCCGUCCGUCUUUCCGUCCGUCCUCAUGCCUGUCACGCCUCAGCGCCGCUCUCUGAAUGGAUGCCGCUCGCUCCGCAGACUCGUGGAUCCUUCAUCAGUCACACACGCUUGUGUUUUUCCAGGAGGAGGAGGAAGAGACGGAUGCCACCUGGGUUCCCGCUCACCGUUCGUGAGGCGUUCAGGGGCCGGUGCUUUCUGUUCAGAUCAGAACUCUUCCUUCAAGAAACCCACGAAUCGAUGGACAGUGAAGGAGGAUUAAGAGAAUUCAACCAGAAAAAAGGAAGCGUGUGUCUGCAGGUGAGCCGGCCGAGCCGCAGCACAUCAUAUUACUGCAGAUGAAAUAUUAAAGAGCAGAGUGAGAAGAACACGCCGACUGACGGUGCCAGAGGAAACGCAAAGAUGGACGAGUGUGCGAAGAAGUUCAGACAGAGUCCGUCACAGCGGAGAGGAGGCAAUGUUGCCGUGGCGACAGGUAUGACACCUGCGCAGGAAGUCAGGGAUGAGCACAAAUAGCAGAGGUAAUGAAGAAGGAAAGAGAAGUCCAGAUCCGAACUGUGUGGACUACAGAAACCGGCCGCAGGUCAAAGGUCACAUGGUUCAAUGCCACCCACUGGAUCCGGUGCCGGCUUUGUCUGUUUGCUGGCGGUGGAAGGUUUGCAUUAAUGGACCCGGCAGCAGACAAUGACGCUCGGCGCUGACGCCCGCCCAAGCUGCAGCAGCUGAAGAACCGGCCCCACCGGGUCGACCCAGCGGACUCUGAGCGGACGCUCGCUGCUUGUUCACUUACUUUAAACAGAGUGUGAACACGGGCGACGUUGAGGGAAGGUCAGUGUGCGUGUGAUGCGUCAGCCGGGUCGUCGCUCGGCUAAUUGGCCUGGAAAACACGCAGCCGCCUCGUUGUUGUUGGUCGGAUCAGCAACACACAACACACUGUAAAUGAACAUUAAAGACACACGGGCACGUCCUCCUCCAGCGCACGGACACAUCAUUUAGAAAAAACAGAGGAGAGAUGGCAAAUAGAUAAUGAGACGGCUAAAAGCUUGAUCUUGAGAAUAAUUUGCUUCUUUUGCUGCAUGGCCUCGAGUGGGGAAACCGUUAAUCAAAGGUUAGAAUGAAAUCAAAUUUGUUCAAAGAUCCUUUUCCCCAAACAUUUAAGACUUGGAGGGCGAGAACAGCAGAGGGAAAAAAUCCAAUUAUUUUCCUCUUUUAUCACUUCACUCGUUACAAAUAAGACACGCUUUCUGAGAGGCAACACAGUUUAGUUUUAUAAUUGCUGUUUUACCACCUGCCAGUUCAGCUAACAGUCACUCCGUCUCUGUCCUCCCUCUCACGACUCUCC
rnacentral:lncRNA from 1 species